UACGUAGGGUGCGAGCGUUAAUCGGAAUUACUGGGCGUAAGGCGUGCGCAGGCGGUUCGUUAUGUCCGAUGUGAAAGCCCCGAGCUCAACUUGGGAAUGGCAUUGGAAACUGGCGGGCUGGAGUGUGGCAGAGGGGGGUGGAAUUCCACGUGUAGCAGUGAAAUGCGUAGAGAUGUGGAGGAACACCGAUGGCGAAGGCAGCCCCCUGGGCCAACACUGACGCUCAGGCACGAAAGCGUGGGGAGCAAACAGG
rnacentral:rRNA from 1 species